GGUGGCUCAGUGGUAAAGCACUUGCUUUGCAUGCAUGAGGCCCUGGGUUCGAUUCCUCAGCACCA
rfam:Dipodomys ordii contig_46430, whole genome shotgun sequence.